rnacentral:rRNA from 1 species
AUUGAACGCUGGCGGCAGGCCUAACACAUGCAAGUCGAACGGUAACAGAAAGCAGCUUGCUGCUUUGCUGACGAGUGGCGGACGGGUGAGUAAUGUCUGGGAAACUGCCUGAUGGAGGGGGAUAACUACUGGAAACGGUAGCUAAUACCGCAUAACGUCGCAAGACCAAAGAGGGGGACCUUCUGGCCUCUUGCCAUCGGAUGUGCCCAGAUGGGAUUAGCUAGUAGGUGGGGUAAAGGCUCACCUAGGCGACGAUCCCUAGCUGGUCUGAGAGGAUGACCAGCCACACUGGAACUGAGACACGGUCCAGACGCCUACGGGAGGCAGCAGUGGGGAAUAUUGCACAAUGGGCGCAAGCCUGAUGCAGCCAUGCCGCGUGUAUGAAGAAGGCCUUCGGGUUGUAAAGUACUUUCAGCGGGGAGGAAGGGAGUAAAGUUAAUACCUUUGCUCAUUGACGUUACCCGCAGAAGAAGCACCGGCUAACUCCGUG